GUGGAUUAGAUACCCCGGUAGUCCACGCCGUAAACGGUGGGCGCUAGUUGUGCGAACCUUCCACGGUUUGUGCGACGCAGCUAACGCAUUAAGCGCCCCGCCUGGGGAGUACGAUCGCAAGAUUAAAACUCAAAGGAAUUGACGGGGCCCCGCACAAGCAGCGGAGCAUGCGGCUUAAUUCGACGCAACGCGAAGAACCUUACCAAGGCUUGACAUAUACAGGAAUAUGGCAGAGAUGUCAUAGCCGCAAGGUCUGUAUACAGGUGGUGCACGGCCGUCGCCAACU
rnacentral:rRNA from 1 species